GCUGUCGUGGCGCAACUCAGGCAGACGCGCGCGGUCGAGAGCCGCGAUGAUGAAGGUUUGAAUCCUUCCGGCAGCA
rnacentral:tRNA from 1 species